rnacentral:rRNA from 1 species
CGUCAGCUCGUGUCGUGAGAUGUUGGUUAAGUCCCGCAACGAGCGCAACCCCUACGUUUAGUUGCUAACGCGUGAAGGCGAGCACUCUAGACGAACUGCCGUUGACAAAACGGAGGAAGGUGGGAUGACGUCAAAUCAUCAUGCCCCUUAUGUUCUGGGCUACACACGUGCUACAAUGGCCGGUACAGACGGACGCAAAGCCGCGAGGUGGAGCAAAUCCUAAAAAGCCGGUCUCAGUUCGGAUUGCAGGCUGCAAUUCGCCUGCAUGAAGUCGGAAUCGCUAGUAAUCGCAGGUCAGCAUACUGCGGUCGAAUACGUUCCCGGGCCUU